rnacentral:rRNA from 1 species
UACGUAGGGGGCAAGCGUUGUCCGGAUUUACUGGGCGUAAAGAGCGUGUAGGCGGCCAAGCAGGUCCGUUGUGAAAACUGGAGGCUUAACCUCCAGACGUCGACGGAAACCGCGUGGCUAGAGUCCGGAAGAGGAGAGUGGAAUUCCCGGUGUAGUGGUGAAAUGCGUAGAUAUCGGGAGGAACACCAGUGGCGAAGGCGACUUCCUGGCCUGUUCUUGACGCUGAGGCGCGAAAGCUAGGGGAGCAAACGGG